UAGGGAAUCUUCGGCAAUGGGGGGAACCCUGACCGAGCAACGCCGCGUGAGUGAAGAAGGUUUUCGGAUCGUAAAGCUCUGUUGUUAAGGAAGAACGAGUGUGAGAAUGGAAAGUUCAUGCUGUGACGGUACUUAACCAGAAAGGGACGGCUAACUACGUGCCAGCAGCCGCGGUAAUACGUAGGGCCCGAGCGUUGUCCGGAUUUAUUGGGCGGAAAGCGAGCGCAGGCGGUUAGAAAAGUAUGAAGUGAAAGGCCGUGGCUCAACCAUUGUAGGCUUUGGAAACUGUUUAACUUGAGUGCAGAAGGGGAGGGUGGAAUUCCAUGUGUAGCGGUGAAAUGCGUAGAUAUAUGGAGGAACACCGGUGGCGAAAACGGCUCUCUGGUCUGUAACUGACGCUGAGGCUCGAAAGCGUGGGUAGCCAACAGG
rnacentral:rRNA from 1 species